rnacentral:rRNA from 1 species
CCUACGGGCGGCAGCAGUGGGGAAUAUUGGGCAAUGGGCGCAAGCCUGACCCAGCAACGCCGCGUGAAGGAAGAAGGCUUUCGGGUUGUAAACUUCUUUUCUGAGGGACGAAGAAAGUGACGGUACCUCAGGAAUAAGUCACGGCUAACUACGUGCCAGCAGCCGCUGUAAUACGUAGGGAGCAAGCGUUAUCCGGAUUUAUGGGGUGUAAAGGGCGUGUAGGCGGGAAAGCAAGUCAGAUGUGAAACCUCAGGGCUCAACCCUGAGUCUGCAUUUGAAACUGUUUUUCUUGAGUGCUGGAGAGGCAAUCGGAAGUCCGGGUGUAGCGGUGAAAUGCGUAGAUAUAAGGAGGAACACCAGUGGCGAAGGCGAAUUGCUGGACAGUAACUGACGCUGAGGCGCGAAAGCGUGGGGAGCAAACAGGAUUAGAUACCCCAGUAGUC